CAAGUUUUCAUCUUUUUCCUUUAAGGUUACUUAUAGGGGAGGAGCAGAUUUUCCAACUGCUCACAUCUCCUUGUCUUAUGUUUUUUGUCAAUAGUCUGUUUCUUAUCACUGUUCACAGUGAUAAGAGUCUCAAGUUUGCACCGCUACUAAGGAAGCUGGUUGGUAGUUCUUAAAAAAAAUGACGAGCGAAAGUAAAUUGCAGCUGGUUUGUCUUCAAGAUUAUGAAGAACAUGCGAGCCAGAUUCUUCCACCGUUCGUUUUGGACUUUUACAGGGGUGGAGCCGAUCAAGAACAAACUCUUCGAGACAACCGUGAAGCCUUCAAACGAUGGCGAUUGAUGCCCCGAGUUCUUCGAGGAGUAGAACACCGUUUAAUGGCUACCACCGCGCUCGGAUACCCCAUGUCUGCUCCUAUUGGUAUUGCACCAACUGCAAUGCAGAAAAUGGCUCACGAAAUGGGCGAACUCGCUACUGCAAAAGCGGCAUCCGACGAAGGAAUUGUUUACGUAUUGAGUACUGUAGCCACUAGUACGAUUGAAGAAGUUUCCGAAGCGGCUCCUAAAGGCAACAACUGGUUUCAACUCUACAUCUACAAAGAUCGCCAGGUCACUGUCGAUAUGGUUCGGCGUGCUGAGCAGGCGAAUUUUAAAGCUCUCGUUGUGACCGUCGAUACUGUCAUUCUUGGCCGACGAUUAGCUACCGAGCGGAAUGAAUUAAGUAAUACAGGAAGUUCAUCGUCCAAUAACUUUGUGGCUUCCCUAUUUGAUCCAAGUUUAACCUGGAAGGAUAUUAGCUGGCUUAAAAGUAUUACAAAAAUGCCAAUCGUGGUGAAAGGAAUUCUGAGACCUGACGAUGCUGAAUUAGCUGUUCAACAUGGCGUGGCGGCGAUUGCAGUUUCGAACCAUGGCGGAAGGCAACUUGACGGAGUUCCAGCCACGAUCGAUGCGCUUCCUGCUAUUGUUAAACAAGUGAAUGGUCGCUGUGAAGUUUUCGUUGAUGGUGGCAUCACCCAAGGAACGGAUGUGUUCAAGGCAUUAGCCCUCGGUGCACGCAUGGUUUUCUUUGGUCGCCCUACAUUGUGGGGUCUUGCACACAGUGGUGAAGCUGGAGUGGUCAGCAUUAUCCGUUUGCUGAAAAAGGAAUUAGACUUGGCUAUGGCACUAUCGGAUCCUAUCCAGAGUGGCGGACGUAUCCAUUGUAUUUGCCGUAUUCUUCGUCCUUGUAGCUGGUUUCGUUGCUCUGCCUUUAGAUGCCUUGGAUUUUUCGCCUUUUGGUUCGUAUUCCUUCGCCUCUUCAGAGUCUUGACCUUUCUUGUAGCCUUUAGGAGCCUUGGAUUUUUCGCCUUUUGGUUCGUAUUCCUUUACUUCUUCAGAGUCUUGACCUUUCUUGUAGCCUUUGUACACGGGCGGUUUCUCGUAUUCCUUCACUUCCUCCGAGUUGUGUCCUUUUUGGUAGACGUAUGGUUUUUGGUAACCGUAACUCUGUACAGCAGGGCGAGGGAGGACUGGGUGGUGGACAACGGGGUGAUAUUGAACGGGGUGAUGUUGAACGGGCUGAUGUUGAACGUAUCCGUGUCCGCUAUUGUGGUCUUGGAAGUAAAUACCGAGACAUGUUUUAAUUUGUUUCUAGAAACAAUGUUAGGGAAAUGACUUUUACAAACCCUUACUAUUAUAAGUGUUAUAUCCGUGGUUGUUGUGGUGGUGUUUUGGCUUUUGUAGGACUUGUCCGUAGGUAUUGGCGUGAUCGUAGUUUGCGUACUGGUAGCGUCUUCCUUUUGUCUCGGAGAGCUCCAAGUCAUUCUUUGCGGUAGGAUUCUCGGCGUAAGCUACGAUUGCCAAAGUUGCUAAAGCGAUCAGUGCGAUCUGCAUACCGGAAAAAGUGAAUUAGACAUGGAAAACUUUUAAAUGAAUUUGAAUGUUGUACCUUAAACGCAGACAUUUUGUUGAUUGUCAGAGGAUAAGUGGAAAUUGCGCCCAGUGUUCAGUAUCCGUCUUGAUGAUUGAAGUGCUCAAGUAGUUGUUGCUUUGAAUCUUGAUCUGUUGCUCUUUUAUACCAACAAUUUGUUCGUUGUCGAGGACAAGAAAAACGAAACUGUGCCGAAAAAAGGAGACCAAUGCCAAUAAGAAAGUCCCGGUGGUUGGUUUGAUCGAACUUGUGGUGAUUAAAGUUGGGUUUUCUUAACGGAUCAUUUAUCACAUUGCCAUGUUCUUGCAAUUGGGAGUCUGUGAAGGCUGGAUGACAUCAUAGAUCAGCACUUUCCAAUUGUUGGGUUACCUCUUAAAGUCAUUAUCAAGUUCUAUGGUGGCAUAGAUCUCAUUUGGUGGAGGUGUAUACGUGUCCUUCAUAAUUACAUUAUGACGACAAGAAGAUAGAUGGGACCUUCGGAUCUUUAUUCACGACAACAGUUUUUUAACAAAUGGGGCGAGUGAUGUCGUCAGCUUAAUCUUAUUUGAUGGAUAGCUAGGAAUGUUACCAAAUAAUUUUCAACUUUCAAGGAACAACCCUCUGAACCGAAAAAG